CGUAGGAUUGCGUUAUUUUUGUUUCCUCACCAGGGGUCAGUUCUUCGUACCUCGCUUAUUACAGCCGAGAUCAAACGACACAUCCAAGGUGACAUCAUCGUGCUAAUCAUGAUCUUCGAACACACCUGCUGUUUACGAUUAGUAUCGCUGGAUUGAGUUGUCUGGGAUAAUUUCGCGUUCAUGCGUUAGUUUAAAAGGGGAUAUGUAUCAGUAGUAGAAACCUUGAUCAGCAACGCUGCUAUUGGCUGCUCUCCAUGGCCAAAGAGUGCGCCCAGUUUUUCUCCGCAACAGAGCAAGAGCUAUUGCUCGAAGGUUAUGCGGAAUUUGAAGGUUUAAUUAAAACGCCAGGGAACACCUCAAAGUCUGCAUAAGCCAGGAGAGAGGGCUAGCAAAAAGUAGCAGACAAAUUAAAUGCAGCCACCACGGGACCCACUAGAACAGUGAAAUACAAGAAUAUUCUACAAAAUGGUAAUCUUUAUUACUUAUACUUUUUAGUAUCUUUUAAAAAGACACUGUUAAAUGAUGUGUUUGUUUAUAAACGCAACCAAGAAAAAGGCUGAGAGAAAAAAAAAGAAAAAAAAGUGGUAGUCCUGCACCCCCCAGUUAUACCCCAGCAGAAGACCUGGCCCUUGGGUUGAAUGUGAACUGACCCAUUGUGGAGGGCAUCCCUGGGGGCAGCUCUUCCUUCAACCCACAUCCAGGGACCAGUAGCAGAAACACCUUCAUUACUGUUUUACAUAAUACACAAACACUUUUACCUGUUCCCAAGCAAGUACUGGCUGAAGCAUGUGCAGUAAGUGGACUUCAAACUUUUUAGAUCAAAAGGGAAGAAAGCCCUCAAUAUCGAAGUGGUAUCAUACCACUUCGUAAUGCCCAUUUGUUUCCAUUGCACAGGACAGUGAAGAAACCCUCUCAGAUGGCUGUCCUUUAGAGGAAGUACAUGUAAGUGCAUAAAUAACUUGACUUAAUUUAUAUAUACACUCAUGUACCUAUUAUUUCUGACUGUUACAGGAGUCCACAUCAACGGAAAGGCCCACAGAAGAGUCUGCACAGAGCAAUGAUACAGAAGUGGGAGGUGUUGUACAGUGCAUCCAGAAAGUAUUCACAUGCACUGUUAACUGUGGGACCUUAUAUAGACAGGUGUGUGCCUUUCCAAAUCAAGUCCAAUCAACUGAAUUUACCACAGGUGGACUCCAGUCAAGUUGUAGAAACAUCUCAAGGAUGAUCAGUGGAAACAGGAUGCACCUGAGCUCAAUUUUGAGUGUCAUGGCAAAGGCUGUGAACUUAUGUACAUGGGAUUUUUUUCAUUUUUUUUUUUUUCAAACAAACUUCUUUCACAUUGUCAUUAUGGGGUAUUGCUUGUAGAAUUUUGAGGAAAAUAAUUAAUUUAAUCCAUUUUGGAAUAAGGCUGUAACAUAACAAAAUGUGGAAAAAGUGAAGCGUUGUGAAUACGUUCCGGAUGCACUGUACUUUUCCUUUUUAUUUUUGUUGCAUGAGGCAUGUAUUCAUUGUUUUGUUCACAAAUGGCACAGGGUGACAUCCAUUCCCUAUAUAAACUGAGUCUUCAACACAAAAUAGUGUUUUUCCCUGAAAAAAAAAACAAAAAGGGGAGAAAUAAAACUUGACCACUUGAAGAAGAAACUGGCACUAGAGAUAGAGCUGCUUCAAAAGGAACUUCAGACUAAGUGCUAAUACACCAUUUCACACAAAGUACUAUUAUUGACCUUUCAUAACAAUAUCUCUUAUUGCAGGCAAAAGAUGACAUUACUUUUCUUUACAAAGAAUAAUUGUAAUAAAACUCUCAAGGGACUAAG